GGUGCUGCAUGGCUGUCGUCAGCUCGUGUCGUGAGAUGUGGGUUAAGUCCCGCAACGAGCGCAACCCUUGUCAUUAGUUGCUACAUUCAGUUGGGCACUCUAAUGAGACUGCCGGUGACAAGCCGGAGGAAGGUGGGGAUGACGUCAAGUCCUCAUGGCCCUUAUAGGUGGGGCUACACGCGUCAUACAAUGGCUGGUACAAAGGGUUGCCAACCCGCGAGGGGGAGCCAAUCCCAUAAAGCCAGUCGUAGUCCGGAUCGUAGUCUGCAACUCGACUACGUGAAGUCGGAAUCGCUAGUAAUCGUGGAUCAGAAUGUCACGGUGAAUACGUUCCCGGGUCUU
rnacentral:rRNA from 1 species